CAGUCCUGCGCAAUGCCAGCUAAAAUCUGGCCGUCUCCACCCCACCCCCAGGACGGUUGUGGUUUCAUCACCACUGCAUAAAUAGGCAAAGAAGGCCGGAUUUCAUUCCGAGCCACUGGGCAUCCGCUCUGCCGUAACAGCGUUCUCUCCAGGCAACUUUAGGCUUAUGUCACUUGAAGCAGGAAUUCAGGCGGUCCCCAACAGGAGCCACCACAGAGAUAAUAACUGCCCUUUGAGGACAAAUUAGGCGACAGGAGCAGGGUUUCCACAUCAAAGUCGACACGCGGCGGGUUUUUCUGUGUCCGACAAGGCUGAAUUUUCCAGCUGAGCCUCCAAGUAAACGGAUGCUGUCUGUAUUUUAGAAAAAAUGAAAUCACACGCAUCGAUUUCUCUCAUAGUGAGGAGGCUUACACAAAUGCAUAAUAGGUAAAUAUUGAAAUGUAGAGCACCGGAAUUGCACGAAAGAAGAAGGAUUGCAGUUAACUCAUGAGGAUUGGGUAGCAAGAGAAUAACUACAGGUAUCUUAGCCCGUAUGGGCUCCUAUAAGAAAAUAAUAAUACACAGACUGGGUGGCGUAUAAACAACGGACAUUCACCUCUCAUGUCUCUGGAGGCUGGAAGUCCAAGGUCGCGACAGAUCCAGAGUCUGGUGAGAGCUGCCUCCUGGUUCAUAGACAUCACAGGGGAAAGCACAGGGGGCCUGGGGUCUUCUCUGUGAGGUCGAUGAUCACAUCAUGGGGCCCCUGCCUCUUGGCCCUCUCACCUCCCACAAGCCCUAACUCCUAACACCAUCAUCUUGGGGGUUAACUUUCAACAUCUGCAUUUGCGGGGGACACAAAUAUUCAGUCUAUAGUAGCAGGACACCCUUUUUUUUUUGUACCUGAGGUAAACACCAGCCUUUAGAGUGAAAGAACCUUGUAGUACAGAUGGCCGUGAGGUGCUUCUGACCAGGGAUUUAACAGUUUCAGGCAGUGGCAAAGAAAGGACAGUUCCCACGGGGAGAAGGGGCAGAAUGCCUCACGUCAGAAAUGAAGAACCACUCCUCUAUGUGACAGAUGACAAGGCUGAGUCCCUCAGUGGCCGCCCAAGGCUGGCUUGUGCCAAGUGGCAGAUUGAAGACACAUUCUCCUUGAGAGCUAGGAAUGGAAGCGGAUCUUGUCUGGGGAGAGGAAGGAGGUGUCUAUCUUUGCUCUCCGAAAAGUGAAUCAAUCUAAGGCAAUUGCUCUCACUGCCUACAUGUGAAGACGUACAGAGAUCAUUCCCCAUAAACCCGCCCUGACUCCUACCCUGGCUGCUGGAAAAUUUCCGACUCCAGCAGCCAUUCUGGCCAACAAGAGCGGGGCCAGGUCCACUCGGUUUGUCUAACACGGCUUUCAACUAAGGCACAAUCAACAGGGUCACAAAAAGUUGUAGGAAUUCAGGGUGAUGGAUGUACUUGGCAUGGAUAUGAAGGGAGCUCAACAAUGUGUGGUGAACUGAACUGGUAUUUUACGUUGUGAGAGGGAGGUAUGCCCGUGUUUAAGCUGAUUCUACUCAUUUAAACAUGGAAUUUUUCUGAAACUGAA